rnacentral:rRNA from 1 species
CCCGUAAUCCGGGUUGCGGACAGUGUCUGGUGGGUAGUUUGACUGGGGCGGUCUCCUCCUAAAGAGUAACGGAGGAGCACGAAGGUUGGCUAAUCCUGGUCGGACAUCAGGAGGUUAGUGCAAUGGCAUAAGCCAGCUUGACUGCGAGCGUGACGGCGCGAGCAGGUGCGAAAGCAGGUCAUAGUGAUCCGGUGGUUCUGAAUGGAAGGGCCAUCGCUCAACGGAUAAAAGGUACUCCGGGGAUAACAGGCUGAUACCGCCCAAGAGUUCAUAUCGACGGCGGUGUUUGGCACCUCGAUGUCGGCUCAUCACAUCCUGGGGCUGAAGUAGGUCCCAAGGGUAUGGCUGUUCGCCAUUUAAAGUGGUACGCGAGCUGGGUUUAGAACGUCGUGAGACAGUUCGGUCCCUAUCUGCCGUGGGCGCUGGAGAACUGAGGGGGGCUGCUCCUAGUACGAGAGGACCGGAGUGGACGCAUCACUGGUGUUCGGGUUGUCAUGCCAAUGGCACUGCCCGGUAGCUAAAUGCGGAAGAGAUAAGUGCUGAAAGCAUCUAAGCACGAAACUUGCCCCGAGAUGAGUUCUCCCUGAGACUUUAGGUCUCCUGAAGGAACGUUGAAGACGACGACGUUGAUAGGCCGGGUGUGUAAGCGCAGCGAUGCGUUGAGCUAACCGGUACUAAUGAACCGUGAGGCUUAACCUU